GCUUAAAAAUAUUGAGUGGUUUAAUCAGGCACUUGUCGUUAAAUGGUUGUGGCGGUACCUUACUGGAAGGGACAUGCUUUGGGCUAAAAUUGUUAGGUCCAUUUAUGGUGAGGUUGAGUGGGGAGAGACAGGUCUGGAAAACGCGGGGAAAGGUAGAUUUAGAGAUGGGUGGUGGCCGAAGAUCGUUUCUGCGGCGGGAGGGGUGAGCAAUUUUUGGUUUGUUCAAAAUUUGAAGCCAAAGGUGGGGGAUGGGAAGACCUUUAAAUUC
rnacentral:lncRNA from 1 species